rnacentral:rRNA from 1 species
UACGUAGGGUGCGAGCGUUGUCCGGAAUUACUGGGCGUAAAGGGUGCGUAGGCGGUUCCGCAAGUCCUGUGUGAAAUCUUCGGGCUCAACUCGAAGUCUGCACGGGAAACUGCGGGGCUUGAGUGUGGGAGAGGUGAGUGGAAUUCCCGGUGUAGCGGUGAAAUGCGCAGAUAUCAGGAGGAACACCAAUGGCGAAGGCAGCUCGCUGGGACGGUACUGACGCUGAGACGCGAAAGCGUGGGGAGCAAACAGG